rnacentral:rRNA from 1 species
UACGAAGGGGGCUAGCGUUGCUCGGAAUCACCGGGCGUAAAGGGUGCGUAGGCGGGUCUUUAAGUCAGGGGGGAAAUCCUGGAGCUCAACUCCAGAACUGCCUUUGAUACUGAGGAUCUUGAGUUCGGGAGAGGUGAGUGGAACUGCGAGUGUAGAGGUGAAAUUCGUAGAUAUUCGCAAGAACACCAGUGGCGAAGGCGGCUCGCUGGCCCGAUACUGACGCUGAGGCACGAAAGCGUGGGGAGCAAACAGG